GUCUCUGUAUGACCCAACAUUUUUGGCACAACUGACAAGUACAGAUAGCUGUCUGGAGGAGAAAGGGCUGCAUAAGCUCCUUCUGCUGCCAAGAAUUUGUACAUCGGAGUGAACUGAAAAAAAGGCUUCUGCAUAGACGACACAGAUGGAAGUACAUCAGCAAUGGGGAAAAAAAGGUCCUGUGACGUAGAUGGCUUGCUUGAGCUUGUACACAACAUAUUCAGUGGAACGGGAAAGCACCGAACUAUAAACUUCCAGACACUGCUGCAAGGAGCUGGCCUGCUACCACAUUCUAAAACUCUUCUCCAAACACUCUUUGAACCCUGAAUUUUUGGAUCUUUUCCAUAAAAGAGAGUCCAUAAUACAGAUUCAUCUUUGAGAGGACUUAAGGAAGAAUUAUGGUACUGAGGUUUUUUGUAUUUUCUAAUUGUAUAUUUGCCCUUUGUUUCAAUAUUCCGCUCUUUAUACAAGCUCCACAAUCAAGAAUAAAUAUUUACUGUAGAAUUUAGGUGGAUGUCA
rnacentral:lncRNA from 1 species